CCAAGACUUAUUGUUGAUUGAUCUUUACCAUUAAAGCUCUAAUUGGCUAAGGAGAUUUUACAGAUGUUCAGAUGCAUGAUAGAGACGCGAAAGUGAGAAGACGACUUGGAUCACAUCACAGCACAAUCUUCACUGGACUUUGCAACAAUCAAUUUUUUCACUAUUAACUUCCAUGGCCAUGGCUUCUGCAAAGCUCAAUACUUUGUCUUCACAGUGGAUCGCCCACAGCACAUUUAAAUAGUUUAUAUUUAAAUUUAUAAACUAUUUUGUUUUUAUAUAUCUAUUUUUCAUAUUUAUAAAAUUCCUUAAUUUUUUUUCUGCAUCUCCUUCUAUCUCUCAACCUCCGUCCAUCAUCACGCUCCCACCACCUCUCUUCAAAAUUUUAACCUUACACAAAAUUCCUCAGAGCUAUUAGUGUUUUUUUUUUGAGAACUUUUCUUUUUUUAAGGUAUUACAUUAUUAUUCUGACUUCUUUAUUUUACUUGAUAUUAAAUGUAUAACUUAAUUAAUGAUCGAGUAAAAGUAAAAAUACAAUUACAAAAAUAUUUCUAUUAUUAUUUGUUAUAGUACAUGUAUUUUCCUAUAUAUAUAUAUAUAUAUAUACGUGUGUGUGUGUGUGUGUGUAGUAUUUUAAGAGUAGUAUUGAAAAUUUAUUUAUUUUUAAAAUAUAUAGUUAUUUUUAAAAAAAUAUUUAAUUAUUUAUUUCAUUAAAUAAGUUAUUUUUAUUUAUUGAAAAGUUUAUCUAAUUAAAAUUACCAAAUCGUGUAUCUUAUUAUAUAAUGAUAUUGAUAAUUAUUGUGUUAAAUAUUAAAGGUAAAAGAUGAAUACGCACUAAAUUCUUUUAAAACAAAUUUUGCAUUUGCAGAGAAAUAACCAAA